rnacentral:rRNA from 1 species
UACGAAGGGGGCUAGCGUUGUUCGGAAUUACUGGGCGUAAAGCGUUUGUAGGCGGUCUUUUAAGCCAGUGGUGAAAGCCCAGGGCUCAACCCUGGAAUUGCCAUUGGUACUGGAAGGCUAGAGAAUGUUAGAGGUUAGUGGAAUUCCUAGUGUAGAGGUGAAAUUCGUAGAUAUUCGGAAGAACACCAGUGGCGAAGGCGACUCACUGGACAUGUAUUGACGCUGAGGUGCGAAAGCGUGGGGAGCAAACAGG